GUUUAAACAUUAUUUAUUAAAACACAGCACAAACAUACAUGCUUAAACAAAUAUUAUUGUUUUUUAAAUUAAAACUUUGGCUUGGUUUUCUGAAUUAGUACAUUGUAUUUUGUUAUGAAUUGUAAAAAAUAAAUAAACAACAUAACUUAAAUCAAAUCUAAAUAAUGGUUAACUAACAGAUCUGAUAGCAAUCAUUUUAAAAAUAAGCAUCACAAAAUAUACCUCUGGGUCCAGUAUUUAUAACAGAAAUAAAAGAGACAAAAAAAAAAAAAGCAAGCACUAAAGACAAAUCCGAAAAAAAUAAUUUUAUUUUGAUUAAAAUGUUCUAGCUUCAGCAUGAAAAAAAAAAAGUCCAUUAUAAGUUAGGUAAUCUAAUUGUUUCCUUUCUUUGAUAAUCCCAUAAAUUUCCUAGCACUGCUAAAUCAUUAGUAAUAGUUUAAGAAAGCAGGAGUUAGUGUCAUACAAGUUAAUACUGAUUAUAUCAUUUGUAUUAGCACAUCUAUUUCACUAAAUAAUGCUUAAAUAAUUUGUACAAGUAUAAUCUUUAAAACAAAAUCUGUUCCUAAGUUGUUGAGUCUGAAAAUAGUGGAAUAAUAACAGAUUUAGUCAUCAUUAAAGAAACAAAGCAUGAAUUAAAUGUUGUUUCUUUUUUUGUGUGCUUGCAAACUAAUAGAAGGCAAAUAGGAUAUGGAAGAUCAGAUGCUAUUCAGUAAACACUUCAUUGAUAAACACUCAACACUGAAAUGAUCAUGCAUUAGAACUCCACAUAGACUGUCACCAUUUUCUAUAUCUCUACUAUAUACACAAAAGUCUAUCAAAAUGUUAAUUACAAUUUCAGUUAUUUGAGAACAAAAAUGUAUCUGAGAUGAUUGCAAAUGUUAAUUUCACAGUCAAUAGUAACUGUGAUAGUAAAAUACUCUUGCCAUAAAUAUCACUCAAACAGCAAUCAAAUGCUGGUGGACCAAAAUAAAAAAAAAACAAGUGUGACAUUUUAUAAACCAAACAUUAAUUAGCCAUUGCCAGAUAGGAACAA